GAAUGCAUCGCAAACCUAGUGGCUGGCCGCGUGUUGUCGACGUCGGCUGUGCACAUGCAGUCUUAUUUCGGACACAGAUUGAGUCACGUGCAUUCAUCGCGACCAGUUUUGUUUCUUCCUAUAAUAAUCUUUUAUUUUGGUUUAUAUUCAAUAAACAAUUGAUGGCAUAUGCCGGAAUCGCGCGGUUAACCAUGUUUUGCAAGUGCACGCGUUAAAUCAAUCAAUCGCGGUGUAAUAGACGGUUCACUAGUGCGAGUGUUUUGUCGGCCGUCGGUGAUUGCUCUUCGCCUGGGGAAUUAUACUGAAAUCCAUUUUCAGAAUAGGACCUGUCGAUCCUCAAUUAGCAAAUACAACAGUACCGGCGUUAGGACAUUGGGUGACCGCCCAGGGCCGCUGGACUUUAAGGGACGCCGACUCGCACUUGGCUGGUUUUUUCGUAUGGGUUUGAAUUGCAUUUAGGUGGCGCCGUAGAAUUCUCGCCCUUGGCGCUGGUAUUGCUAAAACCGGCACUGACUUACUUUCUUUAAUUACCUGAUGCACUAAAAAAGUGAUCAGUGAAAUAAGUAAACACUCUAAAAAUAAGUAGGAAUAAACGUCACAUGGUCGUUGUAAAGCAAGUGUUGAAAUAUUAUUGCGUUCCGUCGGCUCCGUAUUCGUUCCCACUAGAUACCGUUUUUCGUGCUUGAUUGUUGUUUUUUUGAGAAGAGCCUAAUUUAGUAUUUCUUUAAAAGAUUUUUAAUAAAAUCAUAAUUAUUAGUAAUUAAAUUGUUUAUUAUAAUCUACACCUAUCAGCUCUUCCAGAUAAACAAUAGGAAACAGGUAAUAAAACAUGCACUUUUGUUUUUUUUUUUUAUUUGUGAUACAUAUAAAUUUUUGUCGUAAUAUAUAUAAAUUUUCCUUAUUGCCCAGUGAUAAAUUGGCAAUCUUUGGGAUUUUGGUGUGAUUUUAAAUUAAAAAUUUUCUUUCGACAACAUCCUGUAGGGAAAUUUUCCUUUAUGCCCAGCCACCAAUUGGCAAUAUUUAUUGUUUUGGAGCCAUUUUCAUUUUAAAAUUGAUGAUUUUCUUUUGAUAACAUCCUGUAUAUAAUUUUCUAUUGAUGUCACGUGAAAACAGGGUGCAAUUCGCUACUUUCUAGUGUUAUUUUUUGUAAUUUGGUAGCCGCUUGCAUAUGGCAGCUAUGCAGGGCAUAAACAUGUUUUAAAAUGACGUCAUAUGUUUAUUUGUUUCCAUUUUCAAUCACCUGAAAAAUUGGCUAUUUGCUAAUUUCAUUAACCCGGUAGAACUUUGCAAAGUAGUUCUUACUUGUAUGUGCGCGGCUAUGCGGGUCGUAAGUCCAGUUUCAAUAUGGCGUCACGUAUUCUGUUGACUUGUGAAAUCUAAAGUUGUAUUAUUUUACAUUGUAUUUAUUAAUAAAGAAAUGUUAAGAAA